rnacentral:rRNA from 1 species
AUUGAACGCUGGCGGCAGGCCUAACACAUGCAAGUCGAGCGGAUGAAGGGAGCUUGCUCCUGGAUUCAGCGGCGGACGGGUGAGUAAUGCCUAGGAAUCUGCCUGGUAGUGGGGGAUAACGUCCGGAAACGGGCGCUAAUACCGCAUACGUCCUGAGGGAGAAAGUGGGGGAUCUUCGGACCUCACGCUAUCAGACGAGCCUAGGUCGGAUUAGCUAGUUGGUGGGGUAAAGGCCUACCAAGGCGACGAUCCGUAACUGGUCUGAGAGGAUGAUCAGUCACACCGGAACUGAGACACGGUCCAGACUCCUACGGGAGGCAGCAGUGGGGAAUAUUGGACAAAGGGCGAAAGCCUGAUCCAGCCAUGCCGCGUGUGUGAAGAAGGUCUUCGGAUUGUAAAGCACUUUAAGUUGGGAGGAAGGGCAGUAAGUUAAUACCUUGCUGUUUUGACGUUACCAACAGAAUAAGCACCGGCUAACUUCGUG